AAGAAACAUAACUAUAAGUAUGAGGAUGAUGUCCUCGGGCCUCAGCACAUAUGGAUAUAUGUUUUCUGUAAAAGAAUUAGGAACUAUUAUACUCAAGAAUAAGUGGAACCAGUUUUGUCCAAUUUUUUUGUAUGGUCAGGUUCUGCAGAUCCCAUGGGUUAGCUCUAAAAGCUAUUCACUGAUUAGUUUAAGAAUUUAUGGUCAAUGAUAUGAACAUGUUAAAUCUAUUUUAGAAAUUAGAUGAUGAUGAGUCAUUUUAGAGUCAUUUCUCUGUUUGAAGAAUCCCGUAUUUUGUAUUACUCUUACUUCCUAAUGAUUCAAUAAACAUGUUUUAUAAAUUAUAGUCAAUGAACUUGAUGUUCUGGUUUGUAUCUGAGGCAUUAAAUUAGUUACCUAGUUCUCGUAUCAACUAGGUGUACGUCUUUGCUGAUGCUGACGACUUCAAGAAGCUUCUUGAGCCCUUACAAGAUAUUGCUCCAAAGUUCAAAUCAAAGAUAAUCUUUAUAUAUGUUGAUGUUAGAGAGGAAAAUCUUGCAAAGCCCUUCCUCACUUUAUUUGUUCUAGAAGAGAUAAAGUGCCUUGCAAUUUAGAUUAGGAAAAAGACUUCACUCUUUCACGUUUUAGACUUCUGAUUUUGGCAUUUUCUAUUGCUUUGUUUGUGUUUGUAGAUAAUUGCCUUUGAUUACAAUAACAGCGCCAAAUAUCUGGUGGAGUUGGAUCCUGCUCCAAGACACAGAGAAUUUCUGCAAGCGGUUUCUGGAAGGAAGUCUGUCACCAAAUCUCGACCAGUUCCUGACAAUGCGAAUUCUUCAUCAAUUUUCAUGAAUAAUGCUUUUUCAAUACAUACAUCAAUAAUUACAAUGGAUCGUCAUUUGCUUGCUAUUUACUAUCAUGAUUUUUUGCACAGUCCCUUUCAAAUUUUGAUCAUGAGUAGAUUUUUCACAAAAAAAUAGAGAGAGUGACAUUCAGCAUAUACACAGAAACACUCCAUUUUUGUGAAAGAAUGUGUUUUUUCUGUUUCUGUCAUAAAUUUGAAUAAUCUUUUGGAGUUGUCAAAAUGCAGAAAAAUGCAAGCAUUCUAACUGUUGUCGGAAAGACAUUUGAUGAAUUGGUUCUCCGCAUUUCUUAGAACUUUCUUCUUGAGGGUCGUACAACUUUUUAAAAUUCAAAUUUUGAUCUAAAUUUUUUGACCCUCAAACUUCCUCAUCAAAUUUGUAUACCACAAAAAGAAAUACAGAUGCAUUAGAUUUUUACUCAUUAGAUAUUUCAUAUUUCUGUAAACAUUGAUAUGGAACAAUCUAGGAAUUUCCACAUCUCGCAUCCAGAUGACGCCUAAUUUCACUGUUCUAAGUUCAAAUAUUGAUCGAAUUUAAGAUCCACACACCAUGGUGUAUCAACUGUGAAA